GGCUGUAUGGCCUAGUGGAAAGAGCUUAGGUUUGGGAGCCAGAGGAUCUGGGCUCUAAUCCCAGCACUGCCA
rnacentral:tRNA from 1 species